ensembl:lncRNA
CGCCUGCCCCGGUGGCGCUACAAGUGGCCGCCGGGGGCGGUUUCGGCUCCGGUUCCGCCGCGGUUUCCCUCCGCCCCGCGCCCGCCUCCCGGCGACCCUCUCCGCGGUGCGGAGGGGCCGCGGGGCGCGUUGCGUAACGCUGCGCUCCGCUCCGCCGCGCGUCGCUCGGGGCGGCGAGGAGGCGAGGCGGCUCGCCGCGGCCGGAGUGAAAGAACAGAAAAUGAAGCUCUAUUAAGGUGACAUUGGUGAUGGAAGAAGAACGAGAAUGAUUACAUAUCCAUAACUCCCAGCAGCAUGUCAGGUAAUCAUAUUUAAUAAGAGCAUCUGUGCAAUAUUUCUUGCUUUGCUGGAGUGAUUAUAUUAAAUGUUUACUGCAAAAUACUGCUUUAACAAGUUCUGAAUGCACUGGCACUGGGAAUUGAAAUCUUUUGUCUACCCAGGGCAUAGAGAUGUGGGUCACAUAGUACUCUUCCCCAACAUUUUUCAGCUGAAACUCUCAUUCUCUGUGGUUUUCCUUCAGAAAUAAAGUUGUGUUUUGUUCUAAAGGCACAUUUCAACUUCAACAUUUCUGCUGAAACAGAAGACAGUGGAGUGACAGUUUCUGCUGAGUACGUUAGCCCAAGUUACUUUGUAACAUGGACUCAUUCACUGAGGUUCAAAGUGAGACAGUCAAAUUCAUUUCACAUAGAUUACUGAGUACUCUUCAGAUAAUAAUUGACAAGAUCCAGAGUUGAAAUUACCAUUAACCAUUUUAAGUCCACUUAACCCUUUUUAUCUCUGCCAGUUGCAAAAUCGUUUGAAGGCUAUACAUGAAUUAACUGUGUCAAAACCCCCAUAUAUUCCAAUCACAGGACAGGGUGUCUAAAAAGAUGUACUUACUACAUGGAGAUCGUAUAGAAAGACAGAGAACUUCAGACUUCCCAAAGUUCUUUUAGUAUCCCUCAAAUUGCAGAAGAGAAGAAAAUGUUCUGCUGAUACUGUUUGCAAAUGCAUAUUUCAAGAGCCAGAUGACAUAAAUGGGACCUUUCUUUUAAAAGCCUGUUUGUAAAAUGCAGCAUGUGCUACAUAGGGAAAGUCAUAACAAACAAGACUAAAUUCCUGGUGUUAUGCUCAAGGGACAGUUUGGUUUUGCUUAUUGGGCAGAUCAAAUAUCCUUUCCUUUCCCCUAGAAAGCUCCCAGCCUUUUGUAUUGGUCAGCAAGGGGUAACAGCUGCAUUCACCAACAAAGCUGGUCUUUUAAGUUCGGAGUCCUAGAUAUGAGGUAGAGAGUCAAGUUCAUGGGGAGAAACAGCAUUAUUUAAAUUCUUUCAUAGUAAAAUGUAUUAUUUUAUAAUAUGCAAAGUAUGUCAUUUGACUUCUGGUUUUAUGGUUUCUUUGUUGUCCAUUGAAGCAGAGGUUAGGCACAGAUGAAUAUAAGGUGGAGGCAAAGGGCAUCGAGGCUUUUCGUGGAAUGAAGUGGAAUACCUGACCCUCAGUUGGUGUGUCAGGCUCUGUAUUAGCAUCACUGCCACAUGAGGGUCAGGAAGGUGUUAGUAUCCUUAGGCUACAUUGGCAGGGCCCACUAGAGUGUUCUUGCAUUCUUCUGCAGGCAUUCUAGGCAUGAUAAUUCCAUUUAGGAAAUACCUCUUUGGGAGUAAAUUUAAAGCACUGACAUGUAACUCAGGCUCUCCAGCUCUCUGUUAUGCUCUCUUCUGUCUCAUAUUAAACUGUGUUUUUUGACCUUUAGCUACAGGGCUCGAGGGAGCAAUUAGUAGCUUGUGCUAUGUGAUGGCAAAUGAUGUGGGAGGAAAUGCAGUAUACCCACUUUAUCCUGACCUUAUCUGUUUGGGGUGUAGCUUCCUAUGGAGGGGGCUUUUAUGGAGAAUUCCCACUAGUGAUCUAACCAGACCUGUCUGCCUGGGCUUCCCCCUGGCAGGGCAGCUAAGCUCAGUGAAACAAAAAGGCUAAUUGGAAGGGCUACAUUUUCUUCCUUCUGUUUUAUUUAAAAAAAAAAAAAA